GCUUGAGUGAGCGGCGGCGAGCUUGAGAACGCCAUGGCCGGCAGAUUUGACGAAGGAGCGGCUCCAAACAAAGUAGUUUCACUUUCACAAGGAAACACACAGCGCCUUCACGACAUGGCGGCGGCGGCAGCAACAAUACUACAGCGAGAAUAAAAGUUACGCCUUCUUUCUUUGCGUGAACAUUUGGGCGGUGUUAGAACGAUCCGUUUUAGGAGGGCGUGGUUGACUCUUAACUUUUAUAAAGAAUAUAUUUUUGGAUUUGAGACUUUAGUCUUUGCAACUUUACAGAUCUUCUUUAUGCACCAAAAGCUUGUAACACUCCAAAGAGAAAGGAAAAAUUGAAAUCGCAUCAUAUGACCCCUUUAAAGGUGUCUGCCAAAUGCAUAAAUGUAAAUGGUGUGCAAAUAACCUGCUCUCUGCUUGCAUUAUUACAGUCAGUGAACAGGGAUCUUAUUCAUGGUCUCUAAGAAGUUCAGCACGCGGUUCAGUUGUAUCACAAUCAGAAGCAGACAGUAGGUCAAUUUGUGGCUCAUCAAGUUCCAGAGAUUCAUCGCACACCUCAAGAUAUGAGACAGUGGUUCCGAAAAUAUGUAAUAGCAUGGAAUUUCCACCAAACAUGAGUGGAGAUAAGAGGUGGGACAUGAAGUCUAUAGGAAGUUCUGCUUAUGGUUCAUUUGGAUCACUAUCAGGAGCAGACAGCAGGAACAUUUUGGGAUUAUCACAUUCCAGAGAUUCAUCGCACACCUCAAUACAUGAUUCAGGGGACCUGAAAAUAUAUAACAGCAUGGAAUUACCUCCAAACUUGAGUGGAGAUGAGAGGUGGGACACAAGGUCUAUGGGAAGUUCUGCUUACAGUUCAUCUGGAUCACUAUCAGGAGCAGACAUCGGUUCAGUUUUUAGCUCAUCACAAUCAAAAGUCUCAUCACACAGCUCAAAAUUUGGGUCUGUGGAACAUUUAGGGACCAAAAGAGCACAUUGUGUGCCCAAUGUCUCAAAACUUAAGCAUGAUGAGGACACUGAGAAGACUUGAAUACUAAAUUAAUGUGGUGACUGUAUAAUACUGACUUUGUAAUUUUUACAUCAUAAUGUAUCUGUCAGAUUCUGUUCCUUGUUUUGGGUGUGUUUUGCUCCCCAUGUGCCUUUCAUGCCCUUAUUUGGUCCUUCCUGUUCCUGUCCCCAUUUAGUUCUAUUAGUUCCAGGUGUUCCUUGUUAUUAGUUAUCCCCCUCCCCUGUCUGCCCCUCAAUAUCUGCCCUAUUUGAGUUCUAGCCCGUUCUGUUCUCCCUUGUCCGGAAUUGUAUAUGUCUACCCUUGCUACGUGUGUUUCCUUGUUCCCUGCAUGUUAUUAAAACCUAUAUGUUUGAAUUCCACUCCUCGUCUCCUCGCUCCUUUGUCUCCGGGCUCACUCAAGCCCGCUGGCUGUUCCCGAGUCAGGCCCGCCGGCCACCGCAAGGACAAGCACUUCACGGCCACCCAGUUCACCCGUAAUCAGAAGAGGAGAAAGAGGAGAAAUGACUGGCUCAGGGUCCUCUUCCGCGCCCGAGUACUCACUCCAGUGUCGGCUCCAGCCCCAGAGCUCCCUGCAGUGUCGGCUCCAGCCCCAGAGCUCGCUCCAGUGUCGGCUCCAGCCCCCGAAUCUAGCCCAGUGAGGGCUCCUGUCCCUGAGUUUAGCCCAUAGAGGGCUCCUGUUCCUGAGCUUAUCCCACGGAGGGCUCCUGUUCCUGAGUUUAGCCCGGUGAGGGCUCCUGUCCCCGAGUUUAGCCCGGUGAGGGCUCCUGUCCCCGAGUUUAGCCCAGUGAAGGCUCCUGUUCCCGAGUUUAGCCCACGGAGGGCUCCGGUUCCUGAGCUUAUCCCACGGAGGGCUCAUGUUCCUAUAUCUGGCCCACGGAGGGCCUCAGAGCCUGUAAUCUAGAGGGCCUGUAGAGGCCUCGGAGGCGGCUCUGCCAUGGCUUCCUAGUCUGCCUGCACCGCCAUGGCUUCCUGAACUGUCUGCUCUGCCAUGGCUUCCUAGUCUGCCUGCUCUGCCAUGGCCUCCUAAUCUGCCUGUUCCGCCAUGGCCUCCUGAACUGUCUGAUCCGCCAUGGCCCCCUGAACUGUCUGAUCUGCCAUGGCCCCCUGAACUGUCUGUUCUGCCAAGGCCUCCUGGACUACCUGCUCCGCCAUGGCGCCCCGAGCUGCCUGAUCUGCCAUGGUGCCCCGAACUGCCAGAUCCGCCAUGGGUCCUGGAACGGGUGCCGCCCUGGAGGCCUUCCGUCCUGGAACCCUGCUCCUAGAGGCCUCCAGAGCGCCCCCCCCCCCUCCCUGUUGGAUGUUGUACGGCGCGGGACGCACCUUCCGGGUGGGGGGAGUAAUGUCAGACUCUGUUCCUUGUUUUGUGUGCGUUUUGCUCCCCAUGUGCGUUCCUUGCCCUUAUUUGGUCCUUCCUGUUCCUGUCCCCAUUUAGUUCAAUUUGUCCGGAAUUGUAUAUGUCUACCCUUGCUAUGUGUGUUUCCUUGUUC
rnacentral:lncRNA from 1 species